rnacentral:rRNA from 1 species
AGUGAACGCUGGCGGUAGGCCUAACACAUGCAAGUCGAACGGCAGCACAGUAAGAGCUUGCUCUUACGGGUGGCGAGUGGCGGACGGGUGAGGAAUACAUCGGAAUCUACUUUUUCGUGGGGGAUAACGUAGGGAAACUUACGCUAAUACCGCAUACGACCUACGGGUGAAAGCAGGGGAUCUUCGGACCUUGCGCGAUUGAAUGAGCCGAUGUCGGAUUAGCUAGUUGGCGGGGUAAAGGCCCACCAAGGCGACGAUCCGUAGCUGGUCUGAGAGGAUGGUCGGCGACACUGGAACUGAGACACGGUCCUGAGUCCUACGGGAGGCAGCAGUGGGGAAUAUUGGACAAUGGGCGCAAGCCUGAUCCAGCCAUAGCACGUGGGUGAAGAAGGCCUUCGGGUUGUAAAGCCCUUUUGUUGGGAAAGAAAAGCAGCAGGUUAAUACCCCGCUGUUCUGACGGUACCCAAAGAAUAAGCACCGGCUAACUUCGUG